GACAGAGGGUGCAAACGUUGUUCGGAUUUACUGGGCGUAAAGCGCGUGUAGGCGGCUUUGCAAGUCGGAUGUGAAAGCCCACGGCUCAACCGUGGAAGUGCAUCCGAAACUGCAUGGCUUGAGUCUCGGAGAGGAAGGUGGAAUGCUAGGUGUAGAGGUGAAAUUCGUAGAUAUCAAGCAGAACACCUGCGGCGAAGGCGGCCUUCUGGACGAUGACUGACGCUGAGACGCGAAAGCGUGGGGAGCAAACAGG
rnacentral:rRNA from 1 species